rnacentral:rRNA from 1 species
UUCCGGUUGAUCCUGCCGGAGGCUACCGCUAUUGGAGUUCGAUUAAGCCAUGCGAGUCGCGAGUCUUAGGGACUCGGCGUACCGCUCAGUAACACGUGGGUAACCUGCCCUAUGCUGGGGGAUAACCUCGGGAAACUGAGCAUAAUACUCGAUAGAUCAUAAUACCUGGAAUGGUUUAUGGUUAAAAUGAUUCGUCGCCAUAGGAUGGGACUGCGGCCUAUCAGCUUGUUGGUGAGGUAAUGGCCCACCAAGGCGAUUACAGGUACGGGCUCUGAGAGGAGAAGCCCGGAGAUGGGUACUGAGACAAGGACCCAGGCCCUAUGGGGCGCAGCAGGCGAGAAAACUUUGCAAUGUGCGAAAGCACGACAAGGUUAAUCCGAGUGAUUUCUGCUAAAGAAAUCUUUUGCAAGUCAUAAAACCACUAGUGAAUAAGGGGUGGGCAAGUUCUGGUGUCAGCCGCCGCGGUAAAACCAGCACCUCAAGUGGUCAGGAGGAUUAUUGGGCCUAAAGCAUCCGUAGCCGGCUCUGUAAGUUUUCGGUUAAAUCCAUGUGCUCAACGCAUGGGCUGCCGAAAAUACUGCAUAGCUAGGGAGUGGGAGAGGUAGACGGUACUCGGUAGGAAGGGGUAAAAUCCUUUGAUCUAUCGAUGACCACCUGUGGCGAAGGCGGUCUACCAGAACACGUUCGACGGUGAGGGAUGAAAGCUGGGGGAGCAAACCGGAUUAGAUACCCGGGUAGUCCCAGCUGUAAACGAUGCAGACUCGAUGAUGCAUUGGCAUAUAGCCAGUGCAGUGUCGCAGGGAAGCCGUUAAGUCUGCCGCCUGGGAAGUACGUACGCAAGUAUGAAACUUAAAGGAAUUGGCGGGGGAGCACCACAAGGGGUGAAGCCUGCGGUUCAAUUGGAUUCAACGCCGGG